GUGAAUGCAUCGUCUAAAACAUAGUCUAGUUUGCUGCAGAACCAAUGAGGCUUGUGAAAAGCUAUUUAUGUGGCGAUCAGGAAGAAAAACGAAUGAAAACAAAUAACAACUAAUCGACAGUUUGAAAUUCGUCCUUUUUAUAUUACGCUACUCUACAGAUGAAGAAAAAGAAGAGGAGACCAGAGUAGCAGGUCCGGAUCACAUAUUUUUUCCCAGAAAGAAAUGUCAUUAGAAGCCUUGCAGUUAUGAAGCAAAUGGAGCAGUAUUGUGACAAAUAGGAGC